UGUGGAUCCAGAAGCAGAACUCUGAGCUGCUUUUCCAGCAGCGUGUCUGCCUGUGUGCUGCCAUGCUCCCUGCCAUGAUGACAAGGAACUAAACCUUUGAAACUGGUUGUGUACUUGGAUUAUCCCCGGCUCUGGAAGAAGGAGGAAGGCUCUGUGGAGCAAGAAGAAGAUGGAUGUGUUCUUGGUCGGUUUCACUGUUAUGCAGCCAGGCUUUGAAGAAGACCUCCAUGCUCACAACAUCAUUGUCAAGAGUCUGAAGGACAAUGUCAGCUUCCAGGAUGGCACUCUCUGCAGAAGAAGGGAAAAUGGUGCUUAAGGUGUUUUAGUUUGUUUUGGGGAGGGUUAAAAAUCUUAUUAUUUACUUAAGACUUUUUAGGGGGGUGGGGGCAAGUCUGGGAAAAUGACUGACUAUUAAGAGCAUUUACUGCUCUUGCAGAGGACCUGAGUUCAAUCCCUAGCACCUAUGUUAGGUGGGACACAACUGCCUGUAACUGCAGCUCCUGAGAUCUGAUGAUCUCUCUUCUCAACUCCGAGGGUAUCUGUACUCACACAUGCACACGCAUGAUUCAAAAUAAAAAUAAGUCAUCACAGUGA